CCUACGGGUGGCUGCAGUGAGGAAUAUUGGUCAAUGGGCGGAAGCCUGAACCAGCCAAGUAGCGUGCAGGAUGACGGCCCUACGGGUUGUAAACUGCUUUUAUACGGGAAUAACGCGCCUUACGUGUAGGGCUUUUCAUGUACCGUAUGAAUAAGGACCGGCUAAUUCCGUGCCCGCAGCCGCGGGAAUACGGAAGGUCCGGGCGUUAUCCGGGUUUAUUGGGUUUAAAGGGAGCGUAGGCCGCAUGUCAAGCGUGCUGUGAAAGGUCCGGGCCCAACCCGGGCCUUGCAGGGGCAACUGGCGUGCUUGAGUCGGCGGAAAGCAGGCGGAAUUCGUCGUGUAGCGGUGAAAUGCUUAGAUAUGACGAAGAACCCCGAUUGCGAAGGCAGCUUGCUGCAGCGGAACUGACGCUGAUGCUCGAAAGCGCGGGUAUCGAACAGGAUUAGAUACCCCUGUAGUC
rnacentral:rRNA from 1 species